UUUCUCUUUCCUCUUCCUCUCUUUGUCCUCGCUUUUCAUUCCACCCUCUGCCUCAGUCCUGGGUCCUCCUCGUCCAUUCUUUGUCCCCUUGUUGCCUUCCUUUUAUCUUUUCUUUAAUUGACCCUAAUAUGAACUCAAGUCAUGAAAAUUUGUUAUAUAAUAUGAAAAACUUCCAUCUGCUACUAUUCUUCACAUGCAACCCAGGAUACAAUGGAUGGUUCCAGAACACUGAAGGGCAAUACAAGAGGUACCUUGAAGAAUCAAAUGAUGAUUUUACAAAGGCCAAAUAAUAGAAAUCAGUGCUACAGGCUGAGAGAAGAGAGAUCUAUGAUUGAUAUCCAGAACUAUUUUAUCUUGCAAGAUUGAAACCCUAAAUCCACUAAACAACAACUGUGAUUAUGUCCACUCCAUGCAGGAGAAAACUGAGGUUCGGAGACAUCGAGUGAUUUGCCCAAGGUCAUACAACUAGUGGGUGACAGGGGCCCUAUUUGGAAACAUAUGGUCUGUCUUCAGCAUCAACUAUUAGUUAUUUAGC